UACGGGGGGGGCAAGCGUUGUUCGGAAUUACUGGGCGUAAAGGGCUCGUAGGUGGCCAACUAAGUCAGACGUGAAAUCCCUCAGCUUAACUGGGGAACUGCGUCUGAUACUGGAUGGCUUGAGUUUGGGAGAGGGAUGCGGAAUUCCAGGUGUAACGGUGAAAUGCGUAGAUAUCUGGAGGAACACCGGUGGCGAAGGCGGCAUCCUGGACCAACACUGACACUGAGGAGCGAAAGCCAGGGGAGCAAACGGG
rnacentral:rRNA from 1 species